UUAUGAUAUGCUUGUCUCAAAGAUUAAGCCAUGCAUGUGUAAGUAUAAACCUUUAUACGGUGAAACUGCGAAUGGCUCAUUAAAACAGUCAUAAUUUACUUGAUAGUACCUAUUACUUGGAUAACCCUGGUAAUUCUAGAGCUAAUACAUGCACACACAUCCGACUCACGAAGGAUGGUAUUUAUUAGCCGCAACCAACCGGGCUUGCCCGUUUUGGUGACUCAUAAUAACUUUUCGGAUCGCACGCCUCGCGCGGCGACGUUUCAUUCAAAUUU
rnacentral:rRNA from 1 species